CCAGUGACUCUGUUCAACGGCCGCGGUAUCCUAACCGUGCGAAGGUAGCGUAAUCACUGUUCUUUAAAUGCGGACUAGUAUGAAUGGCACUACGAGGGUUAUACUGUCUCCUUUCUCUAAUCAGUGAAACUAAUUUUCCCGUGAAGAAGCGGGGAUAUAACUAUAAGACGAGAAGACCCUAUGGAGCUUUAAACAACCCAGCAAUUACUUCUAAAAUUGUAAAUUUCAGAAUAUUCAUUUCUUAAGUAAUAUGUCUGCAAGUUUUUGGUUGGGGUGACCAUGGAGAAUAACAUAACCUCCAUAUUGAAUGAAUUCCCUUCUAAGCUGAAAAUCACCAAUUGAAGCAUCAACAUACUGACAUCUAUUGACCCAAUAUAUUUGAUCAACGAACCAAGUUACCCUAGGGAUAACAGCGCAAUCCACUUCAAGAGCCCCUAUCGACAAGUGGGUUUACGACCUCGAUGUUGGAUCAGGGUAUCCCAGUGGCGCAGCCGCUACUAAAGGUUCGUUUGUUCAACGAUUAAAACCCUACGUGAUCUGAGUUCAGA
rnacentral:rRNA from 1 species